ensembl:lncRNA
GGCCUUCGAUACAUGAUUUUUUUUUUGGGGGGGGCACAUAAUUCAGCUUACAACUAGGCAAAUUGCAUCUUUAGUCUUAGCCUCUUGGGAGAAAGGAAGAAAAGUGCAAUUGGGUUGUCUGCUGGGCCUCGUCCCUUGAAGAGUAGAACUUGGAACCUGCUACUAUUUUUUUGAUGUAUUUAUUUUCAUUAAAGCAUAAUUGAUUUGCAGUGUUGUCCCAGUUUCUGCUAUACAGCAUAGUGACCCAGUCAUUCAUAUAUAUGUGUAUGUGUGUGUAUAUAUAUAUAUAUAUAUAUAUAUAUAUAUAUAUUCUUUUCCUCAUAUUAUCUUCAAUCAUAUUCUUUCCCAAGAGUUUGGAUAUAGUUCCCUGGGCUGUACAGUAGGACCUCAUUGCUUACUCAUUCUAAAUGUAAUAGUUUGCAUCUACCAACCCCAAACUCCCAGUCCAUCACUCCCUCCCCCUCCCCCUUGGCAACCACAAGUCUGUUCUCUAUGUCUGUGAGUCUGCUGUUCUGCAGAUUGGUUCAUUUGGGCCAUAUUAAGAUUCCACAUAUAAGCAAUAUCAUAUGGUACUUUCUUUCUCCUUUGACUUACCUUCACUUAGAAUGAGAAUCUCUAGUUGCAUCCAUGUUGCUGCAAAUGGCAUCAUUUUGUUCUUUUUCGUGGCUAAGUAGUAUUCCAUUGUGUAUAUGUAUCAUAUCUUCUGAAUCCAUGUUUUUGAAGCAGCACAAACCCCUCUAGUCUUUACCCAGACCCACUAAGUAAUCCACUGCCGGCUUUGGGGUUCCGGAACUCCUUCCUCUUGCUUCCUCAAGUCUGUCUUUUAGACAGGGAUCUGUUUCUCUGUUCCUGGCUGAGAAAUAGGUAUCUGUUCUGAGAUGACCUUUCACCUGGAACUAUUAAAAUGCAUUGGUCUUUUGCAGGUAUUUCUGUACCAGAAAAGAGCUCUCAGCCCCUAAAAGUCCCAGAUAGAAAGCUCAUCUACAGCCGGAUGAGAGGCCAAGGCAGUUACUGUUCUCACUUUCCUGUCUGCCCUUCUUCGCUCGCUCUGCAGGGGAAGGCAGGAGACCACACCUGUGUUUGCAGUAUCACAGACAUGCUGGGAUUGGCAAAUGUGCCAUUAGCCCACCAGGCUGGCACAGAAUGGCUACAUCAGAAGGACUUAAAUUUCACACGAUUUAUUACCACACUGAGAGGAGCCUCAAUAUACUGAAGACAGGCACUUUGGGUAAGUUACAGGCACACAGACCCAUAAUAUUCAAUUCCUCUGGCAUGCCUUCAACGUAGGCUCCAUUUCUACCAUUGUUUCUAGCUCCCCUUUUUGUAUACUCUUGUUUCAACCACUGAUUCUAGCCCAGAGGAUUCCUUUCGUUUCCUUAAUCAUUGGGAAGGGAAGAUCCUUUUCCCCUGGACCCCAAGUUCAUUCCUCCACACAGCCAUCUGAACCCAACAGGGGUCCUUCUGUGCUGGAGCCUCAGAACUACAAUGAAUGAGGCGCUCCCUUCUCUAGGUGUAAAGACCCCCCCGUUUGUUCUCUGAAACUGCCCCUGUUGUAACUACUUCUUCCUGCUCUAAAAGCUUUUUCUUGCUUUCUGCCUUUUAUGACUACAAUCUAAAACCACUCUCAUCUCUUCCUGUUCUAAAACUUCAUCAUCCUUUCUGAAUCCAUGUUUUCUCUACAAGUCCUAAUUUUUUUACAACUCUGACCUCGGCGCAGCACUUACUCCAUCUGUUCUUUCUGGCCCUGCUUUCCCAUCAGAAUUGCCAAGCCAACGACUCAUCUUUC